GGAGCCCUUUGUGCCUCAGCCAGCCAAGCCCAGAUCCAGCCACGUGGACGUGUGCUGACAGCACCGUCGAUGCAUGCACAGUCUCCACCAAGCUGGGACAAAGGCAGAGCCAUCAGUAGCCACGUCGGGGAGAACAGAAGGCAUUCUGGGAACGCGGUGCUCUCACAUCCUGCAAAGUACAGGCCUGCAGAGCAGAUGGCAGGGACUUCAAAAGCUAAGUCACCUUGAAAGAUAAUGGCACAAAGGGCGAUUGGGGGUGGGGUGGGUGGGAGGCUUUUGUACCCUUUUGCAACAAGGAAGCAGAAAAGACAAAAGCUAUUUGCCAGCCUGGUGCGGGAAUCAAUAGAAUAGAGAGAUGGUUCUGCUGCAAUUUCCAUCAAGGGUGGCCAAGCCUCCAGUCUUCUUGUCCAGAAGUAAGUGGCAUCAACCAACUCUGCCAAACUGCAUUUCCUGCCUCCUGAUCUGGGGUCUUUUCCUUUUCUUUUUUCACACAGGGAGUAUUUCCAUCCUCUCUGUCCAGGCAGCUGAGCCUUGACAACCUCUCCUCCCCUUCACCAUGCCCCGACUGAUCUCCUAAUGGAGCCCCA
rnacentral:lncRNA from 1 species